rnacentral:lncRNA from 1 species
GCACUUCCCGCUUCUCUCUCUCUCUCUCUUUCCUGCUCCGCCGCGGUGAGACGUACUUGCUUCUCCUCACCUUCUACCGUGAUUCUGGACUAGACAGAAGACUACAGUUCAAUAAGAAGGAAACACAUUCAUUUUCAGUAUUGUUAAUAAAGAAGCUUACCUAAAAGAAGGAAAUCAAAACAAGAUAAUCUACACUGCAACUAGGGGAGGCUAUUGAAUGUGAUGGUCCCCUCAGAUGCCUAGAGGAAGAUGAACAAUGGUAAUCAGAUAUCCUAAAGUUAUCUUUAGGGCACUGGCAAAAUAGCAGCAAUGCCUGGUGGAAGCUGACUUUGUGCAUACACAUGAGAGCCCACAGAAAACUUCAAACUUCAUGGAAAUAAAACCUUCAGCUGCAGCUAAGAAUUUGGAGGUUACUGAAGGAGGUUACUUUUUCAAGAGCAGAAGUAAGGAUUCCACUGAAUUUGCUCACCAAAGAUAAGUCAGCAAAGAAAACUUACUGAAGAAUACAGGAACAUAAAUCUUAAGCAGGCUUACAUAAGGAAGGGAAGUGGUUGAAUCUGAGGUAAUUCCAUGGUGGACUUUGAAGAAAGCCUUCCAUGAGUUCCCAGUCCAUAUCCUCCAAAAGACAGCAUAUCAGCUCCUGCUUUCCAGACAAACUUCCUGGGUCUUGGGAAGAAGAAAGCCUCAGACUAAGAACUCUCUCUGGACUCAGACAGCCUGAAUUCAAAUCCCAUCUCUAUUCUUACUAGUCAUAUGAACACAGGAGAACCAUAUCCAUUCAGCUCACUUUGGACCACCUGUGGAGCCUGAUAACCAGGGAACAGAGAACCUGUUGAGAUCCAAAUUUGUGUGCCAGAUCACAAACUCAUCUGAAGCAGAUGCCACGUGUUACACUGUUAUGUCUCUCAGAGACUCCAGCACUUUGAAAGUAUUAGGCCUUGCUUAUUGAGAUGAAUAUUUUUUUCUAGGCAUGUCCCAAAGUUCUCAGCAUAGCUACAACCCUGAUUUUCACAGGAUUUUCAUUAAAAUUAGGUUCUAGAGCAUUACUUCCCUAAUGUGCAAUGCAACUUACGUUUAGUUUUCAAAUCAAAAUUAGUUUUGUUUUUCCACUGUCUUUGUCUUUGAAAAUAUUGAACUUGGGAUUUCCAAAAUUAUAAUUAGCAAUUAUUUUUACAUAUCUUUUAUAUACAUAACUUUUACAAUGGCUGCCAUUAUCAUGUAGGUUCUUAGGAAGUGUUUCUGAUCCUUGUAAAUAAAAGUGAAAGAAGAAAUCUUUACUGCUUGCUGACCCAUGUGACUAACCUUGAAAUCAGAGAGGCAGAUUCAUUUAAAACAAACUUGCAAACUGUUAAGCAAAGUACUGAAUCUCUGUGACUUGACCAAAAGUAAUUCAGACUUGACUAUUCCAGGCUCCCUUCUAUCUCUGUAGCAACCCAUGCAUCAUAGACUCCAGUUGCAAUGGAUGGUCAAGGAAUCUGCUGUGCCUUUUGAGUCUCUCCAUUUUAUAUUGCCAAAUUUAUCUUCCUUUAAUACUUCACUUCACAUAAGACACUAAGAUAAACAAGGAUGCAACUCACUUAUAUUUCAAAAUAGUACCUAGUGGUUAAAAGUACUUGUUCUGAAAGCAACUCUAUUUUUCUAGUUCUAACAUGUCUCCAACUAGUUAUCUCACCUUGAGCUUGGCACAUAAUCACUCCAUCUUACUUUUGCAUCUGUGACACAAGAAAAAUACCACCCACCUCAACAUAGAUCUUAUGAAGAUUAAAAUAAGAUUAUGAAAGUAAAAUGCUCAGCACAAUGUCUAAACGAAAAUAAAUGCUCAGCAAGUAGGAGCUACUAUAAUUAUUAUCCAGAUCAAAUAUUUUCUCCUCUAUGAAGCUUUCUUAUUCUUCCCCAGCUGGAAUUACUUAUUUUCUUCCUUGCUUUCUACACCACACUUUAGUCACCACCAUGCUGGCACUUGUCUCACCGCAUUAUAAUUAUUUAUGUGCCUGUGUUCCAUAACCAGAAUAUGGGACUUAAGCUUCUUUAUACCUCCAGCAUAAUUGUUUCAUGUGUGCUUUUAGGUAAUGGAGUAAAAUGGAUGAAUGAGUGAAUGCGACUAUAGUACUAAAUGCUCUUAGAUAAAGAUGUAAUUAUUCUUAAGUGAUAAAAUUAUUCGAACAUGAGUAGUUCAGAUAAUGAGAGACUGUCAUAGAAUUACUUGAUAAAAUCUAGUCAAUAAAAUGGCUUGGCAAUAUAACCUUUAUGAUUUCUUUAAACAAUCAUUCAUUUCUUUCUGAAGAUGAGAAGAGGAGAUUCCUUCUCCCAUCUUUAUAUUUCAACAAUGAUUAGAAAACAAAUUGAUCUCUGGGAUCAGUGCCCAAUACCAUUAAAGUGGUAUACAUCUUACAAUUCUUAAUUAAUUUGUGGCAUACAUAUACCAGUCUCCACAGCCAGCUUCAUCUGCAUACAGCAGCAUAAUCACUUUUUUCCUUAUAGUAAAGACAUAUUAUGAGUCAUCAAAGUCUUCUCCGGGGGUUGUGGUUAUCAUCUGGUAAUCACACCCUUGGGAGGUUAAAAACACUUAUCUUUGGAUCAUGACUUGCAAUGCCCCAGGGGUGUGAUUAUCUCAGGCAACUCACACUUUCUGUCAUGCCUAAUUGCUUAAUUAUUAUAGCUGCAAGUUCACACCACCAUACAGGAACUCAUGUUGUGUCAGCAUUUCCACUAUAAAUUCCUUUUUCAAGAGUCUAUAACUCAGCCAUAAAAAAAAAAAAAAAAAAAACCUAUGGUCCAUUGAAGCACUGCAGUAAGAGUCUUAUUCCAGGAAACAUUUCUGUAAUAGGUUAAUUGUAUCUUAAAAAUUGGGUCCUGAUUCUCAUAGUUAGUUCACCAAAGAAAUAAAUGCUAAUUAAAUGUCUCUAAAUUAUAUAUUUUUCUGUAUGGCUGGGUAAAUAAUGUAAAUCCUAAAGACAUAAAUAUUAUUUUUUAAAUAUAACAAGAAUGGCUCAUACAAUUUCCAGUUUUUUGGAAAUACACUUACACAUAUUUAUAAAAUAUUAUAUAAGUAGAAUGAGCUAAACCAUAGUUAGAGAACAUUGUCAUAUGCAAUCAUGUACUACAUAAUAUUUCAGUCAGUGGACAGCAUGUGGCAGUGGUCACAUAAGAUUAUAACGCAGCUGAAAAAUUCCUGUUGUCUAAUGACAUCAUGGCUGUCAUAACUGUCAUGGCCGUCAUGGCCAUCUGAACAUUGUAGUACAAUGUAUUCCUCAUGUGUUUGUGGUGAUGCUGAUGUAAACAAGCAUCUGCACUGCCAGUUGUAUAAAAGUGUAGCACAUACAAUUAUGUACAUACAAUUAUGCACACACAAUUAUGUACAACACAUAAUAUUUUAUAAUGACAAUAAACAAUUUUGUUACCGGUUUAUGUAUUCACUGUACUAUACCUUUCAUCAUUAUUUUAGAGUGUACUCUUUCUACUUAUAUAUAAAAAAAAGUUAAUUGUAAAACAGCCUCUAGCAGGUCCUUCAGGACAUAUUCCAGAAGAAGGCAUUGUUAUCAUAGGAGAUGACGGUUCCAUGCGUGUUAUUGCCCCUGAAGACCUUCCAGUGGGUCAAGAUAUGGAGGUGAAAGACAGUGAUAUUGAUGAUCCUGACCCUGCGUAGGCCAAGUUUUCUUGACUUCACUUAAUCUGCUGGAAGCUGAUCCUUUUCAUGUCCAUGUUUAAGGAAGCGUUGAAGGUCACGUCACUCAAAGCCAACAUCAGCAGGCAUCCUACCAAGAUAAUCUCUGAAGAGGUCAGAGGCACAAUUAUUACAAUUUAUUGUGGACAGGAAAACACAUGGAUGUUGAAUACCAGUUCCUGUGAAAGAUACUUGGGUUUCGGGAUAACAACAGUCCCAAGUCUUCAGAACAAAUCAACAGAAUUCAAUCAAGUAUUUCCUUGCACUUACUUGUUAUGACUUCUUAGUCUCUCCAGUCUGUGACAGUUACUCAUUUUCUCCCUGAUACAAGGACUACAACACUUUGGAAGGUGCUUGUCAGAAAUUUAUUCUCCUUAUAUACAUUCCUACACACAUGUGGAUGCUUUUAUUGAAACCAGUUCAUAGGUAUGUUUGUAUAAUCUUUAUACACAUAAAAUAUAUUUUUUUC